rnacentral:rRNA from 1 species
GAUGAACGCUGGCGGCGUGCCUAAUACAUGCAAGUCGAGCGAACGGACGAGAAGCUUGCUUCUCUGAUGUUAGCGGCGGACGGGUGAGUAACACGUGGAUAACCUACCUAUAAGACUGGGAUAACUUCGGGAAACCGGAGCUAAUACCGGAUAAUAUUUUGAACCGCAUGGUUCAAAAGUGAAAGACGGUCUUGCUGUCACUUAUAGAUGGAUCCGCGCUGCAUUAGCUAGUUGGUAAGGUAACGGCUUACCAAGGCAACGAUGCAUAGCCGACCUGAGAGGGUGAUCGGCCACACUGGAACGGAGACACGGUCCAGACUCCUAAGGGAGGCAGCAGUAGGGAAUCUUCCGCAAUGGGCGAAAGCCUGACGGAGCAACGCCGCGUGAGUGAUGAAGGUCUUCGGAUCGUAAAACUCUGUUAUUUGGGAAGAACAUAUGUGUAAGUAACUGUGCACAUCUUGACGGUACCUAAUCAGAAAGCCACGGCUAACUACGUG